rnacentral:rRNA from 1 species
GUUACCUACGGGAGGCAGCAGUAGGGAAUCUUUCACAAUGGGCGAAAGCCUGAUGGAGCAACGCCGCGUGCAGGAUGAAGGCCUUCGGGUUGUAAACUGCUUUUAUAAGCGAGAAAUAUGAUGGUAACUUAUGAAAAAGGAUCGGCUAACUCCGUGCCAGCAGCCGCGGUAAUACGGAGGAUCCAAGCGUUAUCCGGAUUUAUUGGGUUUAAAGGGUGCGUAGGCGGAUUGAUAAGUUAGAGGUGAAA